rnacentral:rRNA from 1 species
UACGUAGGGUGCAAGCGUUAAUCGGAAUUACUGGGCGUAAAGCGUGCGCAGGCGGCUUUGCAAGACAGAUGUGAAAUCCCCGGGCUUAACCUGGGAACUGCAUUUGUGACUGCAUGGCUGGAGUGCGGCAGAGGGGGAUGGAAUUCCGGCGGGUAGCAGUGAAAUGCGUAGAUAUGCGGAGGAACACCGAUGGCGAAGGCAAUCCCCUGGGCCUGCACUGACGCUCAUGCACGAAAGCGUGGGGAGCAAACAGG